UUCAUGAUAACUUCUCGAAUCGCACGGCCUUGCGCCGGCGAUGGUUCAUUCAAAUUUCUGCCCUAUCAACUUUCGACGGCUGGGUCUUGGCCAGCCAUGGUGACAACGGGUAACGGAGGGUUAGGGCUCGACCCCGGAGAAGGAGCCUGAGAAACGGCUACUACAUCCAAGGAAGGCAGCAGGCGCGCAAAUUACCCAAUCCCGACACGGGGAGGUAGUGACAAUAAAUACUGAUACAGGGCUCUUUUGGGUCUUGUAAUUGGAAUGAGUACAAUUUAAAUCCCUUAACGAGGAACAAUUGGAGGGCAAGUCUGGUGCCAGCAGCCGCGGUAAUUCCAGCUCCAAUAGCGUAUAUUAAAGUUGUUGAGGUUAAAAAGCUCGUAGUUGAACCUUGGGCCCAGCCGGCCGGUCCGCCUCACCGCGUGCACUGGCUCGGUUGGGCCUUUCCUUCUGGAGAACCGCAUGCCCUUCACUGGGUGUGUCGGGGAACCAGGACUUUUACUCUGAACAAAUUAGAUCGCUUAAAGAAGGCCUAUGCUCGAAUACAUUAGCAUGGAAUAAUAGAAUAGGACGUGUGGUUCUAUUUUGUUGGUUUCUAGGACCGCCGUAAUGAUUAAUAGGGACAGUCGGGGGCAUCAGUAUUCAAUUGUCAGAGGUGAAAUUCUUGGAUUUAUUGAAGACUAACUACUGCGAAAGCAUUUGCCAAGGAUGUUUUCAUUAAUCAGGAACGAAAGUUAGGGGAUCGAAGACGAUCAGAUACCGUCGUAGUCUUAACCAUAAACUAUGCCGAUUAGGGAUCGGACGAUGUUAUUUUUUGACUCGUUCGGCACCUUACGAUAAAUCAAAA
rnacentral:rRNA from 1 species